GGCGUCCUUGUAAGAGAGUGUACGGUCGGGAUUCGUCUACAGCUCUCCUUUGUCCUAAAUUCAGAAUUGAAAUAAAAAGGAAGAAGAAGAAGAAGAAUCCUGAGAAAAACGCACCCUUUUUACGAUUACGCCGCCUUGUCUACGCCCUGACGAAAUAGACUAAACGCCCGCUUCCUUCUCCCGAGCCAGAGCCAGAGUCAGAGCCUAAGUUCGAUUCCUGGGGCAAAACUGAUCUCAGCUUACCCCCAGUGACGCUGUCUCACUCCUCCGAUCAAAAAAAGUUUUGCUCUUUUCGAUUCCCGAUCCUCCCGAUGUCGAAAAGAAUCCUUUGUAAGUUCUUUGCGCACGGAGCUUGCUUAAAAGGAGACAACUGUGAGUUCUCACAUGACUGGAAGGAUCCUUCAAAUAAUAUUUGCACUUUCUACCAGAGAGGCAACUGCUCUUACGGAAGCAGAUGCAGGUACGAACAUGUCAAACCUUCUCGCCCUCCUCCUGCUUCCUCCUCCGCUCUGCUGCCUCCUGGCACCUACCUAUCUUCCGAAAGGGGUUUAACCUCAGCCCCCUCUGCAUCAUCACCACCACCACCAGCGUGGACUUUGGAUUCCUUAGACGACCAGGCCAACAACAACAACAACACUGGUCCAACCAACCCAGAAGACAAACCCAUCUGCUCAUACGCCGCGGCCGGAGACUGCCCACGCGGCGACCAGUGCCCUCACAUCCACGGAGACCUCUGCCCGACUUGCGCCAAACGCUGCCUGCAUCCCUUCAGACCAGAGGAGCGCGAGGAGCACAAGAAAGCGUGCGAGAAGAAACACAAGCAGCUCGAAGCGUUGAAGCUUAGCCAGGACGUGGAGUGCUGCGUCUGCUUGGAGCGUGUGCUCUCUAAGCCCACUCCAGCCGAACGCAAGUUCGGGCUGCUCACCGAGUGUGAUCACGCUUUCUGCAUAGGAUGCAUCAGGAACUGGCGCAGCAGCUCUCCUUCCACUGGGAUGGAUGUCAACAGCACGCUGAGGGCUUGCCCCAUAUGCCGCAAGCUCUCCUACUUCGUUGUCCCUAGUGUCAUCUGGUUCUCGGAUCCUGAAGAGAAAAAGGAGAUCAUGGACAACUACAGGGACAAGCUCAGGUCAAUUGAUUGUAAGCACUUCAAUUUCGGAGAUGGGAACUGUCCGUUCGGAACAAGUUGCUUCUACAAGCACACUGUGAAGCCAGGGUCAUAUGCAUGGAAAUACCACAGGCCACCUCCAAGGCGUCCGAGUCCCUCCUCCGCUGGGUCUAACUACUCAGACAUUAGUACAUUUUUUAAUAUGAUGGAGAACAUUAUGUCAGAAGGAGAGUAUGGUCCUUUUGGAUUUGAAGAUUCGGAUGAUGACGAUGAUGAUGAAAUGACUUCAACGGAUAUGAUGAUGUUACUGAUGAACUUGGAUGUGGACUCCGAUGAGGAGGAUAGCUAUUAACAUGUUUUUAAAGUUUACUAAUUAAACAUGCAUUUCAUGAUGGUCGUUUGGAGGAAGUGGUUCUAAGGCAUCUGGAUGCAGAAGAUGGGCAGACUGUGAUAGCUAAAGAGAUAAGGUUGUCUGACUUUCUUGAGAAUAUGCGCAUAUGAAUCAAAGACUGUUUUGGCACAAUAAAGAUGUUUUGAUGAACACCUCUCUUUCUCUCUUUUUGUUGGAUUUUUUUUUGUGCACAUUCAUUACAAUUUGACUGAUUCGAGUUGGAAGACAUCAAUGCUUUGUGACCUGCAGUGAGACUGAAUCAUUUGUACUCAUUUUUUGUAUUUAUAACAAAUAUUACAACUUUGAGGACAAAGUAGCUGUGAA